rnacentral:lncRNA from 1 species
AUAUAUACAAUAUAAUUCCUAAAAAGAAAAUCUUCCAAAAUUCCUGAAAAUGUUUUAAUGACCAACCGAAUAUACAAGAAGAAAAAUGAUCAAAAUAAAUUUUGUUGAAGUGGUAAAAUAUCCAUACCCUCUAUAUAUAUUAAAAAUACAAAAUCAUUUUAAAAAUAGAAUAUUCGAAACUUUUGGUUUUGAAUUUUUUUGCUGAAAUCUUUUUUUUUUCGAUUUUUUUUGCAAAAGUUUUUCAGAAAAUAUUUUUAAAAUUAUUAUUUUGAAUUUUCUAUUAUAAAUUUUAAAUUCUAAACACUAAUCCCCAAACCUAAACCCACCCCUAAAUUUAAACUUUAAAUCUAAAGUUAAUUAUACAGGUUCAAAUGUUUUUACAUCUUUAAUUAAAUCUAUUUUGGACAUUGUAACUCUUUGGAGUUAUUUUUGUGAUAAAAAAUGUUAAUGCUUCUUAGAUUAUUUUUCUACUAAAACUAAUAGUAAAGAUAAUAUUUUGAUAACUUAAUGAAAUUUUCUAGUAUUAAAUUAUUUUUAUUCUAAUUAAUCUCUUGAUAAG